rnacentral:lncRNA from 1 species
UGCAGGUGGGCAAUUAACCCAAUUGGCUCAGGUGUGGCCAAUGAGGGAAGGACCCCUCUAUUAGAGUUUCUUAGAAAUGUUUUCCUCCCUAUAUCAGAGAGAGCCGUACAAGAGAAAGGACCCUGUCCCUCCCUUCCCAUUCUGGACGCUGCCAUACCGGGACGUGACAUUUAAAUUAGUAAUAACUGCAAGAUUAUGAGCCCAGGGACAAAAGCCAGUGCUCUGAAGAUACUUCAGUGGAAAGACAGGAAGACGUUCUUUCCUUGAUGACAUUAUUAGGCCACCGUAUCACCUCUGGGCUGCUGAACUGUGGACUUCUUAAGAAAUAAUUACCAGGUACUACAGGCAUAAGCAGCGUGGGAACAAACCCAACUGAGUUACUAGACAUAAAAUUCCGCAGGUAGGCAACAGAGUACCCAGCCACGGAAUAACCAACUCCCAUUCACCGUUCAGGGCUGUGAGCAUCCUCCAGAUGGAGUGGCGGAAAAGUCGACCAGGUUUCUGACUAAAGAGUCCCUGCAGGAGAAGCCAGGUGCAGUGGUUCACGCCUGUAAUCCCAGCACUUUGGGAGGCCAAGGCAGGAGGAUCACGAGGUCAGAAGUUGAAGACCAUCCUGGCCAACAUGGUGAAACCCCGCCUCUACUAAAAAUACAAAAAUUAUCCAGGCAUGGUGGUGAGUGCCUGUGAUCCCAGCUACUUGGGCAGCUAAGGCAGGAGAAUCGCUUGAACCCAGGAGGCAGAGGUUGCAGUGAGCGGAGAUGGCACCACUGCACUCCAGCCUGGGCGACAGAGUGAGAUUCCAUCUUAAACCAGGCCUUACAAAAUCAGGUGUUAUAUUAGGUGGCCCUCACCCCGUCUGAGUUUUAAAUAUUUAGUGUGUCCCCAAAUCUAGACUAGAACCCAU